rnacentral:rRNA from 1 species
UACGGGGGGGGGCAAGCGUUGUUCGGAAUUACUGGGCGUAAAGGGCGCGUAGGCGGCCUACUAAGUCGGACGUGAAAUCCCUCGGCUCAACCGAGGAACUGCGUCCGAUACUGGCAGGCUGGAAUCCGGGAGAGGGAUGCGGAAUUCCAGGUGUAGCGGUGAAAUGCGUAGAUAUCUGGAGGAACACCGGUGGCGAAGGCGGCAUCCUGGACCGGCAUUGACGCUGAGGCGCGAAAGCUAGGGGAGCAAACGGGG